rnacentral:rRNA from 1 species
UGGCUCAGAGCGAACGCUGGCGGCAGGCCUAACACAUGCAAGUCGAGCGGCCGUAGCAAUACGGCAGCGGCAGACGGGAGAGUAACACGUGGGAACGUGCCCUUUGGUUCGGAACAACACAGGGAAACUUGUGCUAAUACCGGAUACGCCCUUACGGGGAAAGAUUUAUCGCCAAAGGAUCGGCCCGCGUCUGAUUAGCUAGUUGGUGGGGUAACGGCCCACCAAGGCGACGAUCAGUAGCUGGUCUGAGAGGAUGAUCAGCCUCACUGGGACUGAGACACGGCCCAGACUCCUACGGGAGGCAGCAGUGGGGAAUAUUGGACAAUGGGCGCAAGCCUGAUCCCAGCCAUGCCGCGUGGAUGAUGAAGGCCCUAGGGUUGUAAAGUCCUUUCGGCGGGGAAGAUAAUGACGGUACCCGCAGAAGAAGCCCCGGCUAACUUCGUGCCAGCAGCUGC